UGGGGAAUAUUGGACAAUGGGCGCAAGCCUGAUCCAGCCAUGCCGCGUGAGUGAUGAAGGCCUUAGGGUUGUAAAGCUCUUUUAACGGGGAAGAUAAUGACGGUACCCGUAGAAUAAGCCCCGGCUAACUUCGUGCCAGCAGCCGCGGUAAUACGAAGGGGGCUAGCGUUGCUCGGAAUCACUGGGCGUAAAGCGCACGUAGGCGGAUCUUUAAGUCAGGGGUGAAAUCCCGGAGCUCAACUCCGGAACUGCCUUUGAUACUGAGGAUCUUGAGUUCGAGAGAGGUGAGUGGAACUGCGAGUGUAGAGGUGAAAUUCGUAGAUAUUCGCAAGAACACCAGUGGCGAAGGCGGCUCACUGGCUCGAUACUGACGCUGAGGUGCGAAAGCGUGGGGAGCAAACA
rnacentral:rRNA from 1 species